rnacentral:rRNA from 1 species
UGGGGAAUUUUGGACAAUGGGCGCAAGCCUGAUCCAGCCAUGCCGCGUGCAGGAUGACGGUCCUAUGGAUUGUAAACUGCUUUUGUACAGGAAGAAACAGUUCUACGUGUAGAACCUUGACGGUACCGUAAGAAUAAGCACCGGCUAACUACGUGCCAGCAGCCGCGGUAAUACGUAGGGACCAAGCGUUGUUCGGAUUUACUGGGCGUAAAGGGCGCGUAGGCGGCAUGACAAGUCACUUGUGAAAUCUCUGGGCUUAACCCAGAACGGCCAAGUGAUACUGUCGCGCUAGAGUGCAGAAGGGGCAAUCGGAAUUCUUGGUGUAGCGGUGAAAUGCGUAGAUAUCAAGAGGAACACCUGAGGUGAAGACGGGUUGCUGGGCUGACACUGACGCUGAGGCGCGAAAGCCAGGGGAGCAAACGGGAUUAGAUACCCAAGUAGUCCCUGAGCGGGCUGGCAAGGCGCAU